CCUACGGGUGGCAGCAGUGGGGAAUAUUGCACAAUGGGCGCAAGCCUGAUGCAGCCAUGCCGCGUGUGUGAAGAAGGCCUUCGGGUUGUAAAGCACUUUCAGCGGGGAGGAAGGCGUUAAGGUUAAUAACCUUGGCGAUUGACGUUACCCGCAGAAGAAGCACCGGCUAACUCCGUGCCAGCAGCCGCGGUAAUACGGAGGGUGCAAGCGUUAAUCGGAAUUACUGGGCGUAAAGCGCACGCAGGCGGUCUGUCAAGUCGGAUGUGAAAUCCCCGGGCUCAACCUGGGAACUGCAUUCGAAACUGGCAGGCUAGAGUCUUGUAGAGGGGGGUAGAAUUCCAGGUGUAGCGGUGAAAUGCGUAGAGAUCUGGAGGAAUACCGGUGGCGAAGGAGGCCCCCUGGACAAAGACUGACGCUCAGGUGCGAAAGCGUGGGGAGCAAACAGGAUUAGAUACCCGAGUAGUC
rnacentral:rRNA from 1 species